rnacentral:rRNA from 1 species
ACUCAAAUGAAUUGACGGGGACCCACACAAGCGGUGGAACAUGGGGUUUAAUUCGAUGGUAAACGAAGAACCUCACCCAGGCUUGACAUCUACGGAAUUCCGCUGAAAGGUGGAAGUGCCGCAAGGAACCGUAAGACAGGCGAUGCACGGUCGUCGUCAGCUCGUGCCUUGAGGUGUACUGUUAAGUCAGCGAACGAGCGCAACCCUCAUCCUAUGUUGUUUUUUCAUGGGAGACUGCCGCCUCCAAGGCGGAGGAAGGUGGGGAUGACGUCAGAUCAGCGUGUCCUUUAUGCCUGGGGCUACACCCAUGUUACAAUGGCCGAUACAGAGGGCAGCGAAACCGCGAGGUGAAGCUAAUCCCAUCAAAGUCGGUCUCAGUUCGGAUUGCAGGCUGCAACUCGCCUGCAUGAAGUUGGAAUCGCUAGUAACCGUAGGUCAGCGAUACUACGGUGAAUAUGUUCCUGGGUCUUGUACACACCGCCCGU